GGGGCUGACCCGGUUUCGACGUGGGUUACAAAACAGAAAAGUGCAUACCGAGGCUCUAGUCACCUCGUAAAUCAACUAGAAAAAAAGUAAUCGCAAACGACGAUAACUACGCUUUAGCUGCUUAAUUCCAGCUAAACACUAGCCUGAUAGGUCGCUCGCUCAGGGUCUAGUGUCAUAUAGAGUGACUCGGGGGUUAUUGGGCUACUUAAUAAUUCUCUAAAAUUAAGGUAGCUCGUUAAGGUGUUCGGUUGCUUAUUAAUGGACCCUUAAUUAAAUUUAAAUAUCGGCUCAGGGAGACUCUAUGCUCAAACUUGCUGCAAAUAUAGACUGGCUCUGGAAAGAGC
rnacentral:tmRNA from 1 species